rnacentral:rRNA from 1 species
GACAGAGGAUGCAAGCGUUAUCCGGAAUGAUUGGGCAUAAAGCGUCUGUAGGUGGCUUUUCAAGUCCGCCAUCAAAUCCCAGGGCUCAACCCUGGACAGGCGGUGGAAACUACCAAGCUGGAGUAUGGUAGGGGCAGAGGGAAUUUUCGGUGGAGCGGUGAAAUGCAUUGAGAUCGGAAAGAACACCAACGGCGAAAGCACUCUACUGGGCCGACACUGACACUGAGAGACGAAAGCUAGGGGAGCAAAUGGG